rnacentral:rRNA from 1 species
UACGGGGGGGGGCAAGCGUUGUUCGGAAUUACUGGGCGUAAAGGGCUCGUAGGCGGCCAACUAAGUCAGACGUGAAAUCCCUCGGCUUAACCGGGGAACUGCAUCUGAUACUGGAUGGCUUGAGUUCGGGAGAGGGAUGCGGAAUUCCAGGUGUAGCGGUGAAAUGCGUAGAUAUCUGGAGGAACACCGGUGGCGAAGGCGGCUCUCUGGUACGUGACUGACGCUGAGACGCGAAAGCGUGGGGAGCAAACAGG